AGUCGAGCGAUGAAGUUCCUUCGGGAACGGAUUAGCGGCGGACGGGUGAGUAACACGUGGGUAACCUGCCUUAUAGAGGGGGAUAGCCUUCCGAAAGGAAGAUUAAUACCGCAUAAAGUUGUUGAUUCGCAUGGAUCGAUAACCAAAGGAGCAAUCCGCUAUAAGAUGGACCCGCGGCGCAUUAGCUAGUUGGUGAGGUAACGGCUCACCAAGGCGACGAUGCGUAGCCGACCUGAGAGGGUGAUCGGCCACAUUGGGACUGAGACACGGCCCAGACUCCUACGGGAGGCAGCAGUGGGGAAUAUUGCACAAUGGGGGAAACCCUGAUGCAGCAACGCCGCGUGAGUGAUGAAGGCCUUCGGGUUGUAAAGCUCUGUCUUUGGGGACGAUAAUGACGGUACCCAAGGAGGAAGCCACGGCUAACUACGUGCCAGCAGCCGCGGUAAUACGUAGGUGGCAAGCGUUGUCCGGAUUUACUGGGCGUAAAGGGAGCGUAGGCGGAUUUUUAAGUGGGAUGUGAAAUACCCGGGCUCAACUUGGGUGCUGCAUUCCAAACUGGAAGUCUAGAGUGCAGGAGAGGAAAGUGGAAUUCCUAGUGUAGCGGUGAAAUGCGUAGAGAUUAGGAAGAACACCAGUGGCGAAGCGACUUUCUGGACUGUAACUGACGCUGAGCUCGAAAGCGUGGGGAGCAAACAGGAUAGAUACCCUGGUAGUCCACGCCGUAAACGAUGGAUACUA
rnacentral:rRNA from 1 species